rnacentral:rRNA from 1 species
UAGAUAACCUGCCCUUUGGAGGGGGAUAACGUUCCGAAAGGAGCGCUAAUACCGCAUACGGCAAGAGCCGGUUUGCCGGUUUUUGGCAAAGGUAGGGACCCGCAAGGGCCUACCGCCAGAGGAGGGGUCUGCGGCCCAUCAGCUAGUUGGUGAGGUAAUGGCUCACCAAGGCAGAGACGGGUAGCUGGUCUGAGAGGAUGAUCAGCCACACUGGUACUGGAACACGGACCAG